rnacentral:rRNA from 1 species
GAUGAACGCUGGCGGCGUGCUUAACACAUGCAAGUCGAACGAAGUCCAUGGAGCUUGCUCCGGAAGACUUAGUGGCGAACGGGUGCGUAACACGUGAGAAACCUGCCCUGGACUUUGGGAUAACAGUUGGAAACGACUGCUAAUACCGAAUACCACCAUCACCUCGCAUGGGGAGAUGUUGAAAGGUCCGCCGGUCCAGGAGGGUCUCACGGCCUAUCAGCUUGUUGGAGAGGUAACGGCUCACCAAGGCUACGACGGGUAGCUGGUCUGAGAGGAUGAUCAGCCACACUGGGACUGAGACACGGCCCAGACUCCUACGGGAGGCAGCAGUGGGGAAUCUUGCACAAUGGGCGAAAGCCUGAUGCAGCAACGCCGCGUGCGGGAAGAAGGCCCUAGGGUUGUAAAC